rnacentral:rRNA from 1 species
GGCGACGAUCUGUAGCGGGUCUGAGAGGAUGAUCCGCCACGCUGGGACUGAGACACGGCCCAGACUCCUACGGGAGGCAGCAGUGGGGAAUAUUGGACAAUGGGCGCAAGCCUGAUCCAGCCAUGCCGCGUGUGUGAAGAAGGCCUUUUGGUUGUAAAGCACUUUAAGCGAGGAGGAGGCUACUUGGAUUAAUACUCUAGGAUAGUGGACGUUACUCGCAGAAUAAGCACCGGCUAACUCUGUGCCAGCAGCCGCGGUAAUACAGAGGGUGCGAGCGUUAAUCGGAUUUACUGGGCGUAAAGCGUGCGUAGGCGGCUUUUUAAGUCGGAUGUGAAAUCCCUGAGCUUAACUUAGGAAUUGCAUUCGAUACUGGGAAGCUAGAGUAUGGGAGAGGAUGGUAGAAUUCCAGGUGUAGCGGUGAAAUGCGUAGAGAUCUGGAGGAAUACCGAUGGCGAAGGCAGCCAUCUGGCCUAAUACUGACGCUGAGGUACGAAAGCAUGGGGAGCAAACAGGAUUAGAUACCCUGGUAGUCCAUGCCGUAAACGAUGUCUACUAGCCGUUGGGGCCUUUGAGGCUUUAGUGGCGCAGCUAACGCGAUAAGUAGACCGCCUGGGGAGUACGGUCGCAAGACUAAAACUCAAAUGAAUUGACGGGGGCCCGCACAAGCGGUGGAGCAUGUGGUUUAAUUCGAUGCAACGCGAAGAACCUUACCUGGUCUUGACAUAGUAAGAACUUUCCAGAGAUGGAUUGGUGCCUUCGGGAACUUACAUACAGGUGCUGCAUGGCUGUCGUCAGCUUGUGUCGUGAGAUGUUGGGUUAAGUCCCGCAACGAGCGCAACCCUUUUCCUUAUUUGCCAGCGGGUUAAGCCGGGAACUUUAAGGAUACUGCCAGUGACAAACUGGAGGAAGGCGGGGACGACGUCAAGUCAUCAUGGCCCUUACGACCAGGGCUACACACGUGCUACAAUGGUCGGUACAAAGGGUUGCUACCUAGCGAUAGGAUGCUAAUCUCAAAAAGCCGAUCGUAGUCCGGAUUGGAGUCUGCAACUCGACUCCAUGAAGUCGGAAUCGCUAGUAAUCGCGGAUCAGAAUGCCGCGGUGAAUACGUUCCCGGGCCUUGUACACACCGCCCGUCACACCAUGGGAAUUUGUUGCACCAGAAGUAGGUAGUCUAACCGCAAGGAGGACGCUUACCACGGUGUGGCCGAUGACUGGGGUGAAGUCGUAACAAGGUAGCC